CAUUUUCUCAUUCAUUAGGCAGGGUUGCCACAUUUCGUAAUAUAUUUUAAAAUGCACUUCAUAGUGUAUUUCGGGCAUAAAGUAAAUAACUGCUUUGGUAAAACAAAAUGAAGAAAAAAAUCACUCUUCCAUGCCCAGAAGCAAAAAUUCCCACAAACAAGGAAAAAUAAAAUAAAAUUAAAUCACAAAGGCAAAAAACAAAAAGCACCCAGGCAAACUCUAGACACUGUGAAACAAUUGGUCCUUACUUUGGCUGUCUUUGCCUAAGAAGGAAAAGUGUCAUUGCUCUCUAAGUAACCUUUUUAUCAUCUGGGGAAGAAAAGAGAGAUAUAAGUAGAAUGAUAUUCACGGAGCAAAUUAAAGCAGUCUCUUGUCACCCUGCAUCCACACAGCCAGCCUGCGUCCUCAGUGAGAGAUGAGAGACAGUUGUGGGCAAUAACAAGAGGAGAAUUACAAGCAAAAAGAAAUAGGGCUACUUUGCACCCCUUCCUUGGAGGACUGGGUCUGGGUCGGGUAUUGGCUUGGUUUUGCUGUUUUUACCACGCUUUGGACUGCAGGCUUUUUGAGACUGAGAUUGUUCCUAGCAGCUUUCUCUUCCUCUUUGAAGCCUUAAGGAUUGUGUAUCAGCUCCAUAGUGGAGUCUGCAUCUUCUGUGAAGUUCUUAAAUCUGGAGAAUCUUAAUUGAAUCAGCAUAAGAUCUUACACUGAGGAAAAAAUCUCAAAAUCAACUAAGCUGAAAAAAGUUUAAAACAGAAAUAUAACUGCAUAACAUUCAGCAGAAGGAUGCACACAACAGGUCUUCUAAUCAUUCCUCUCUGCAGGAUUCUAGUGUCUAUGCUUAUUUCUUCCUGUCACCUUCAAGAAUGAAGCCUCAUAGUUUGGUACCUUUACAGUAUCUCCAAGAAUUAGCAGGCUGUCAUGAUUACUUUGUCUUGGAAUAUAUUUAGUUGUUGUCUUCUCAUUUCACAAAUUGAUGCCAUCCUGAAAUGAAUGAAAAACAGUAAAAUGGCUGCUGGCUGAGAAUUUUAUUUUUAGUUACUUGCCCACCAGAGAAUCAACCUGGAUGAUUAUGGAAAAGAGAAAAUAGUAUCCUGAGCUAUUAAGGAAAAAAAAAGAAAAAGUUCACAAGGGAAGGAAAAGGUACAUAUGGAAGGAGAAAGCAGAAGAACACUAUGGAUAUAUGUGACUCAUACUUCAGCCAAGGGUUUAAGUACAAAAAUCACUCCCUGUAUUUUCAGACUAGUGGCUUUGUUU
rnacentral:lncRNA from 1 species